UAUACAAGCUGUUGUUGGCCGGUUCGUGGUGAUCUUUUCUUCUUCCUGACAAGCAGAAUGCAUUCAGUUGAGCUCGAGGUACUAACAAUCGAAAUGUUGAUUUUUGGCUGAAUCGCCGUUUGUCGAGACGGUUUUUGCUGAUUGGUGUCAUGCCAGUGGAAACGGGCCAGGAAAACUAAAAAGAUCUGGCCCCUCUCCGACCCGGACCAUCCUGCCAAAUCAGAGCCAAAAACUGCUCACCACGAUGGGACUUAAUAUUUGUAUUUUAAACAUUUCGGCCUCAAACGAGGAAAUAAUUGUGGAAUCACGUGUUCUUCGAAAAAUAUGCGACUUUAGUUCAAUUAUUUUUUCAUUUAAUUUUCUCAGUGCUUAAAUAGGAAAAGUCCUUCUACCAUUUUCUAUUAUCAAGGUGUCAUACAUAAAAUCUAGCCUUCAGCAUGAGGAAGGAAGAAUUUAUGCCACACAAAAAAUUAAUAAAGAACUACCAUCAUAAAUUAUUCUUCCCCUGGGGUCAGUUAUCGCAACUAAGAACAAUAUAGCUAAAGUAUUGGGUUGCCGCACUGAGUGCAGACGCGACUUCAGCAGAUCCCAAGAUGAGAUUGCUUCGUCGGCAGCCCAGCUGGUUUCUAAUUUAAUUCCUUUUCGUCAGAACGAACGAUAAAAAUAACAAUAAAAUUCAUUUCCACCUUGUAAUCUUAUGACACCGUACAGAAUUUCAUCCAUUGAUU